UACGGGGGGGGCAAGCGUUGUUCGGAAUUACUGGGCGUAAAGGGCGCGUAGGCGGCCUGCUAAGUCGAAUGUGAAAUCCCCCGGCUCAACCGGGGAAGUGCAUCCGAAACUGGCGGGCUAGAGUACGAAAGAGGGUCGCGGAAUUCCUGGUGUAGAGGUGAAAUUCGUAGAUAUCGGGAGGAACACCGGUGGCGAAGGCGGCGACCUGGGUCGAUACUGACGCUGAGGUGCGAAAGCGUGGGGAGCAAACAGG
rnacentral:rRNA from 1 species